rnacentral:rRNA from 1 species
GAUGAACGCUGGCGGCGUGCCUAAUACAUGCAAGUCGAACGAAACUUCUUUAUCAACGAGUGCUUGCACUCACCGAUAAAGAGUUGAGUGGCGAACGGUUGAGUAAACCGUGGGCAACCUGCCCAAAAGAGGGGGAUAACACUUGGAAACAAGUGCUAAUACCACAUAACCAUAGUUACCGCAUGGUAACUAUGUGAAAGGUGGCUAUCCUACCGCCUGUGGAUGGGCCCGCGGCGCAUGAGCUAGUUGGUAGGGUAAAGGCUUACGAAGGCAAUGAGGCGUAGCCGAAUUGAGAGGUUGAUCGGCCACAUUGUGACUGAGACACGUCCCAAACUCCUACGGGGGGCAGCAGUAGGGAAUCUUACACAAUGGACGAGAGCCUGAUGGAGCAACGCCGCGUGGGUGAAGAAGGUCUUCGGAUCGUAAAACCCUGUUGUUAGAGAAGAAAGUGCGUGAGAGUAACUGUUCACGUUUUGACGGUAUCUAAACGGAAAGCCACGGCUAACUACGUG